rnacentral:tRNA from 5 species
GCCGGGGUGGCGUAGUUGGUGGCGCGUCGGACUCAUAAUCCGAAGGUCACGGGUUCGAGCCCCGUUCCCGGCACCA